rnacentral:lncRNA from 1 species
ACUUGUCUGAAUGGGACCCCAGCAAGGCACACGUGGUCUUCAAUGCGAUGGGCGCUUCCAGGGGACCCGGCGUCCCUUGGGUCCAGGAAGUCUUAUACUGUCUCCUCUCACGGCCCCGACAGAAACGGUUUCUGAGGAGUAGAAGUGUCCUAAGUGGAUUGGAAAUUACAAAUGCCGGAAAGAACCUAGGGAUGGAAAGCAGCCCUCAACUCAGCCCACCAGCACCCAGUUGAAAUAAACAGCCAUGUUGCUCACAGAAAGCCUGUUUGGUGAUCUCUUCACACGGACACAUGAAACAUUUGGUGCCAAAGACCCGGGUCAGUGGGACUCCUUUUGGAGACCAGUCCCCUGUCCUCACCCUCACUCCGUGAAGAGAUCCACCUACGACCUCAGGUCCUCAGACCAACCAGCCCAAGGAACAUCUCACCGAUUUUAAAUCAGGACCCCACUAGAAAUUGGACUGUCCAACUGGCCCAAGGCUCUGAUCGACUCCUUCCCAGAUCUCCUCGGCUUAGCAGCUGAAGACUGACACUGCCUGAUCGCCUCGGAAGCCCCUUGGACCAUCACGGACGCUGAGCUUCGGGUAACUCUCACAGUGAAGGGAAACUGAAUUCCAAAAAGGAAACGAACUAACUCAAAUUUUCCCUGAUCUGGAAUUACAAGCAUCAGCUCAUUAUUCCUGCAAUAAAACCGAUUGGCCAGGAGCUAAACAGAAGACUUCUAAAAAAUGAAAAC